CUUUUUCAAGAGUUGUGGUACUUACCAAUUCUUUUUCGUUCUCCCCAACUUAUUUCUUCCACACCCUAAGUGAAUGCUCUUAACUUUUUACGGCAAAAGAACAAUAAUCAAGAUUUUUCGGGUUGUAAAAAAAAAGAUUUUUGAGAUCUCGCUUUAUUUCAAGCCGAGAUUCAACUGUUUAGGCUCAAAGGGGUUAACAAAUACUCUCUCUGCUCACAGGUAAGUUGUUUUUGGAUGUAGUU
rnacentral:lncRNA from 1 species